AGCGUUUGCCUCCGUAUUUCCAGCGGCGCGAGGGAAGUGGGUGAUUACCCUGCGGUUUUGUUUCUCAAAAAGCUCGGGCAAAAGCAGCGGCCGGCAAGGCUAGUGUUUGUCUGUGUGUUGUUUCCAUAUUGCUGCUCGGGACCUCAGUCCCUUGGGGCUGGGGCAGUGUUCCGAGAACAGCGGUCCCCGAGGCACUCUGACAGUUUCACCACUGCCACCGGGAUGAACCAAAGGCCAGAAGGGGAGCGGGGACACCCCGUAGAAGCCCCCCACAGCACCGGGCAGCGAUGGGAGAGAGAAGAGCCGCGGCCGCUCAGGAAUAUAUGGCAGCUAGUGCCCUCACUUGAGUGCAAACAGUCAAGCUACUGAAAUUCUAGCAUACUUUUUCAACCUGUGUGGCUUCUUUACGUAAGGUGCACUGUUUCCACUCGUCCUUGCACACCCUGUCUGUCCAAUUUCUGACAUGACUCCACUUAAUAUGAAACACCAGCUUUUCUUGUGGGGAAAAAAAAAUCAGACCAUGCCAGCAAAGAUCAGUGAAAGGCUGGGUUGAGGUUUGUUUGUCUUAGUGACAUGGG
rnacentral:lncRNA from 1 species